rnacentral:tRNA from 2 species
GGGGCUGUAGCUCAGAGGGAGAGCGCCCGCUUGGCGUGCGGGAGGUCGAGGGUUCAAUUCCCUCCAGCUCCACCA